rnacentral:lncRNA from 1 species
AUGAAACUACUAGCAAUAGUUUUAACACGACAAUCUGAUGAUGUUGUUUUUCUUUGCUCGGCGAUAGACUUAAAUUCAUAUUCUUAUAUAAAAAAAAAGGCAUUAAAAGAAGCUAUGCUUUUUAUUGCUAGAACUGUUCCUUCAAGGAUAGAGUAUAACACAAAAGAAAUAAUAACACACGAAAAUAAUGCAGUUUUUGCAUUUAAAUAUCCUGAUAACCUAUGUCCGGUUGUUAUAGCAACCGAUAAUUAUCCUGAACGAGUAGCUUUUUAUAUGAUCAAUGAAAUAUACACUAAUUUCACGCAUACUAUACCUAUGAACGAAUGGUCAGAAGUAAAACAAGACAACAUAAUAAAUUUUAACUUAAAUUCGUUUUUGGAAAAAUAUAUGGAUCCUUUGACAUAUGAUGCCAUAGCUCAGACAAAUAUAAAAAUUAAUGAAAGCAUGGAAAAUGUCAGAGUAACUAUGGAUACGCUAAUCCGGAAUAAAGAAAAUUUAGACGUUUUAGUUGAUAAAAGUAAAGAUCUGUCGAGUAAGUAUUAAUUGUUUUUACUAAUUUAUUUGUAUAUAUAUAUAUAUAUAUAUAUGUGUAUAUAGGAAUAUACCAUUAUAAUACUUAUACACAUGACGUUAUAUUUUUACAUUUUAUUUAUGCGGU